GAUAGUGAGCAGCAGCGUCUCCGGCAGUCGAGAUAUGCAUCGCUCCAGAUUUGAGAAAGAGCCCUCAAAGUGAAGCAAAGGAUUUGAUCGGCAAGUUUAAGGCUGUUCCCGGAAGGCUACACAAUUAAUUUAGAGAAAAAUGCUUUGGAAAUGUGGUGACACUGCAUUCAGGGCUGAAAGCUGCACAAUGGAUUUGUUUGGUGGGGGUGUAACAAGAGUAAUGGAGACAGGAGGUACGAUGUGCAGCUGUGCCCUGCACAUACCUGGUAGCAGAUCAGCUGGCAGUGUCUCCUCAGGAAAAAGGGACACAGCUGCAACAUUCAGAGUUUGUUUCACCUUGUAGAAUGGGUAUUUAAUGAUAUAAUGUUGGCACACCUUGGUAUUAUUAUUAGUCCAAAACUUUUAUGUUGACUGACUAUUUAAAGAAAUGCAUGUGCCAAAAAUGUGGCAGAGAAAAUAUCCCCCUUUUCUUUCUUGCAGAGAGGAAGAUAAGAAGAUAGAUACUGUAGGAUAUUAGAAAUAAACUGACCACCCGGUUCAUAAAUUAAUAAAAUCCAUAUACACCAGAAUACAUCCAUGAUUCUGAAACUGUGUAAUCAAUAAAGUAAUGACAAUAUUGUAAAACCACUGUAAUAUUGAAACUGUAAUCAAUAGAAUAAUAUCAAUGUACAGUUAUAGUUGAAUUUAAUGUAAUGUAAUCAACUGGAAUGCAUGCAUGUAAUUCUUGACCACACCACAACUGAUAUUGACUGAGGGUCAUACAAAAUCCGAGUUACAUUGAACUCACCAGAAGACCACUCCCAGAGGUGUGGACACUAACUUUCACACAACCAUUGUUCUGGAGUUCGCUGGUGGAGGCAACAGACGGGCACUGUGGCCUGUUGGUUACAGAGACCAGCGGCUCCUCAGCUGACAUGUUCUUUUUACCACAAGACCCUUCUUAUUAAAUACUAUUGCACCGUUCAUUCUUCUUCUUCAAGUGGGGGUUCGCGUCCUGUUUUUUCUUCCCUAGUUGUUCUUAGAAGUCCUUCUCUGGGUAGGGCCCUUCUUGCGGGUUGUUUGCCUUGCAAAUGCUUCCGCACAUCGAAUUGAGCCCUCAAGCCUUUUGAUCGCGAGUAGCUUUCUGUCAGCCUUGGACAUGCCAAGUUCCUCCAGCAACUGAUCUGUUUGGCCGUGUAAUGUGCCUCUCCACGUCAGUACCACCGCUCCGAACCUUAUUGCUGUGGGGUUCACAUUCAAUCCAUGUCCUAAUGUCCUUCUGGUCCUUCUUGGAUGUUAAACUGCAUUUCGUUGCCUCAGUACUUGUACCCUGUGCAAUGACAAUAAAGUUGAAUCUAAUCUAA
ensembl:lncRNA